ensembl:lncRNA
GAAAAUUAUAAAACUUUAUUGAAAGACAUUUAAAAAGCCUAAAUAAAUGCUAUACCAUGUUCAUGGAUUGGAAGAUUCAACACUGUAAUUAAUCCAUAAAUCUAAUAAAAAUUCCAACAUUUUUUUUGUUUGAUUUAGAACUUCUCAAUCUAAUUCUAGAAAUUGUAUGGAAAAGCAAAUGGCUAAAAAUAGCCAAGAUACUCUCAAGGAAGAAAAAUUUGGUGAUGAUGUUGGAGGUGGAGGUGGGAUUUGUCCUGAGAUAUCAAGACCUUUUUCUAAAGUUGUCAUACUCAGGAUUGUAUAGUACUGCCACAGGUUAGACAAAUUGACCAGUGAGUCAGAACAGAAACCAUCAAGAGACCCACACAAACACACAAACUUGAUUUAUGAAAGAGACAGUGUUACAGGUCAGUGAGGAAAGGAUGAACUUUUCAGAAAAUGGUGCUGCAACAACCACUUAUCUAUAUGGAAAAUAUAUUAUAUUGAACUUCUAUCUCAUACUUUUCACAAAAACCAGUUCUAAAGACUAAAGACGUAUGAAAAGCAAAACUGUAAAACUUUUACAAGGCAGUAAAGAAUAUCUUUAUGACUUUGGGUAGGAAAUGAUCCCCCCCUUCCACCAAGCCAACUUGUAUACAGCUCCAUAAGAUACUUUUCAAAAACAGUUAUUUCCAGCAGGACAUAGGUGACAAUCCAUAACAUUUUACAACUUCCAAACACCCCUCCCCAAAAAGUCAACAAAGUCUUCUGUUCCUGCUUUGAACAGGCAAAGUUGUCAGAAGGGGUGGAUAUUUCACAUGAGGCAUGUAAGAGCUUUUCACAGGUCAUUUCUGACUUGGAGAAAACUACAAACUCCAGGAUUAUCAAUGGGAUGAUCCACAAAUUGCAAACAGGAAUCUUGGCUCUUUUGAGCAACACCAUGUCGAUGUCUUCAUCAGAAGGCCUGAGGAUUAUUACCCAACACAGCUGAUUUUAGGGAUGCUGGUUUUCUGAAACCAUAACUCUUGGGUUCAGAAAGUCAAAUAUAUGCUGAUGGUAUCAGGAAAGGCAAAGACAUGAAGUUUUGCUUCCACACACUGUAAGGCGUCUGAGCCAAAGUGACUGACUCGUGUGUGAAUGUCAGAGAAUCUCUCCCGGGGACCAAGAAUAAUCUUCAAAAAUGAGGACAGAAAAUACUAUUUUCCUCCAUUUUAAUCCAGCUUCUGAAACACUCUGUUAGUGGUAUUUGCCCUUUCCACAAAAGACAACUAAGUGUCCUGUGUGCUAACAAUAUAACUUAAAAAGAAAAACAAAAUUCUACAUUUUUAUAAAAGUUGAUUUGAAAAAAAACAGUAUUUCAAACAGCAGAGUCACUAGAAGUACAGAGCUAUCAAAAUAGCACACUUCACUUGGCAUCCCCGCUGCCUUCCGCUUUCUGUGACUGGACUGUGGCGGCAUCUCGGUUUUUCGCAGGGUUGUUCCCAUCCUUGCCACUAUCUGCUUUCCCCUUUCUCCCUUUGGGCAGCUUCUCUCCCUUCUUUGCAGGGGCCUUUUUAGGCCUGGGCUCUGGUUUUGGGGGGGCAGGUUUAGCGGACAACCGUGCUGAUCUCCUCUGUGGCUCAUCCUUCACCUUUGCUUUGUCACCUUUAGCAUCUCCUUUUGCCUUUCUCUUGGGCAUGGUGGCAGCAGUACUUGGCCGGUGGCCUUGCCAGUCCAGAGGGCUCGUCUGUCCUCCUCACACUGCUCCUAGAAAGAUUUCUUUAACAAGACACAAAAAGUAUAAACCAUAAAGGGAAAUGACAAAUUUAACUACAUUAAAAUUCAAAUUUAACUAUAUUAAAAUCAAUAAUUUGUGUAUAUCA